rnacentral:rRNA from 1 species
UCUGGUUGAUCCUGCCAGUAGUGAUAUGCUUGUUUCAAAGAUUAAGCCAUGCAUGUCUAAGUAUAAGCGAACUUAUACAGUGAAACUGCGGAUGGCUCAUUAAAACAGUUUGAAUUUAUUUGAUGAAUGUAUGAGAAUACUACUUGGAUAACCGUAGUAAUUCUAGAGCUAAUACAUGCAACGACGCCCGACCGUUUCACUACGGAAGGGCUGUAUUUAUUGGAUACCAAAACCAUCCUUCCCUCGGGAAGUUUUGUUUGAUGAUUCACAAUAACUGAUCGGAUCGCCACUGUGGUGGCGACAGGUCAUUCAACAUUCUGCCCUAUCAGCUUUCGAUGGUUGUGUAGUGGACAACCAUGGCCAUAACGGGUAACGGAGAAUCAGGGUUCGAUUCCGGAGAAGGAGCUUGAGAAUUGGCUACUACAUCUAAGGAAGGCAGCAGGCGCGCAAAUUACCCAAUCCCGAUUCGGGGAGGUAGUGACAAAAAAUAACAAUACCGGGCCUUUUUGGGCUUGGUAAUUGGAAUGAGGGAGAGUUAAACGGACCAUCGAGUAUCCAUUGGAGGGCAAGUCUGGUGCCAGCAGCUGCGGUAAUACCAGCUCCAAUAGCGUAUAUUAAAGUUGUUGCAGUUAAAAAGCUCGUAGUUGGACUUGUGUGCGCUGUCCGCGGGUGGCCUGCGCCCAAAAGGGCGUUUCGGUUCGGCCCCGGUGGCGCCUUGAAAUCUGCAGCUGGGGGGACGUUGGCCUUAACUGGUCGGCGACCGCACGCCGGCUGCUCGGUUACUGUGAGAAAAUUAGAGUGUUCAAGGCAGGCAUUGGGUGCAAUUGAAUACAUUAGCAUGGAAUAAUAAAAUAUGGCUCCUGCCGUAUUUUGUUGGUUUUGACUGGUGGGAGUAAUGAUUGAUAGGGACGGUUGGGGGUGCUAGUAUUGAGCGGCCAGAGGUGAAAUUCAUGGAUUCGCUCAAGACUAACUUAUGCGAAAGCAUUCACCAAGGACGUCCUCUUUAAUCAAGAACGAAAGUUGGGGGAUCGAAGACGAUCAGAUACCGUCGUAGUCUCAACCAUAAACUAUGUCGACUUGGGAUCGGCGGUAGUUUUUUCAUUAAGACACUGUCGGGACCACGGGAGAAAUCAAAGUGUCUGGACUCUGGGGGAAGUAUGGUCGCAAGGCUGAAACUUGAAGGAAUUGACGGAAGGGCACCACCAGGAGUGGAGCCUGC